CUGUGAUGCAUGGACACCUUUAUUAUUACUAUUAUUAUUACUCGUUAACAUUACGUGGUAUUAUUCACAUCACAACAUAUGUAUGGCAAUGGCAGCAACAUAGCGGCAACAUACACACACAUACAGGCACAUACACACACAUACAUUGAAACAGCACCAAUAGCAACAGUAGAUGAGGCUUUUGAGAAAUGGUUCCUUCUUCUUCUUCUCUUUUAACGUGCGUCCUUGUGGGUCAUGCUUGUUAACGUAUCGGCCGAGUUCCCAUUAUGACCUAUUUCCCAAGGCUACAGGAGUCAUCAACCAGGUUUUCAUGGGUGACUUUCCCGUUCAAGGCACAGAAGUCGUGUAGAACUAUCACCACGAUCACAAAACUGUAUAAAUGUCCCCAGGAACUUUUACGAUCGAGAGGCUUUUCAAACUGAGACCAUAUUGCUUACACACUCACAAGGAUUUCGUAGGAGUUUUGGGCAUUUCCAGAGGUACUUUUAUGAUCCUGGUGGUGGUAGUUUGACCCUUCUUCUGUACUAAGGGUCACAAAACUGUCUAUAGAAAUCCCCAGGAAGUUCUAAUAGGAGAGGCUUCUUUUCAAACUGGAACCAUAUUGCUUACACUCACAUUUGACAAGGAUUUCGCGGGAGUUUGGGGCAUUUUCAGAGGUGCUUUUAUGAUCCUGGUGGUAGUUUGACCUUUCUUCUGUGCUAUGAAUGUGAAAAAACACUCAUAAAAACCCGAUUAAUCACCUAUUCGGCCUUUGGAAAUAGUUCACGUGAGAGGUGGAAGUCUGAUAAUGCUGACCCUCUGGUGAUCUGAGGUACCGAGACAUCCAAGAAUACGGGCUUAUGAGUCCUGAUCUCCCACUCUUGACAGUCGUAUACUCUUGAUCUUCCCUGGUGUUCCUCCUUCCCAAAUCUUCAUCCACACAGCGUCUCCAGGUCUUUGGUCUUCAAGCUGGUCUCCUUCCUUCUGCCUCCACCUCUGCAGCUCCUCUGAAUACAUGGUCCUCCUCCUCCUCUUUCUCCUCCCUCUUGAAAUGCCCGUACCACCUCCACCUCUGUCUCCUCAGCACACUCAGAUCACUCCCUAUGCGUUUUUCCUCCUUCAUUCUUCUUCCUCAUGUUGUCUAAGGACCUUCAGAGCUUUCUUUCUUUCCUUUUUUUCUAUUUCUAUGGGAUACAUUAGAAUGGACAGGGACAUAACGAGACUACAAGAGGCCAGACAGUCUACAUAUGGGAGCUUUUAACAACAUUCUGAGCUUUCAAUCCUCUGUUUUUCUUGUUCUUUCUGUCUUGUGGUGAUGACUGCGACACAUAAGAAUAGAUAUGGACAUGAGAAGACUGCAAAAGGCCACGGUCUAUAUAUGGAAGCUCCUGAAGAUAGGCUGUUCACUAAUUCCCUUUUUUGUGACUAUAUUGGGUUUUCUUAAGGACUGAGUGGAGAUUCUUGUUCCAGCUCUUUACUAUAUACUUAUGUCAUACCCUGCUACUGCUGCACACACACACAUAUACACACACACCAACCUACAAACUGUAUUGCUUCUAAAAGUAUGGUAUAUCUCACACACACACAAACACACACACACAGACAAACACUGAUAUCUUUGUUUGUUCUCAUCUCAAACAAACAAACAAACAAACAACAGGAUAGUAGAUUUUUAAAAGUUUUGUUCCUAUGCUCGUAACAAGAGAGUGAAUCUAAUCAACUGUUUUUACUUUAUGUGCUAGUGGGCGAACCAUCUUGAGAGGUUCACCCAAAGCAAGGUAGAAGAGGAGGAGGAGGAGGAGGAGGAAGGGAAGAUGCUGGGGUAGGAAGGGGGGAGGGGGUCUGCCACACACCAUGAAAUUAAUGCACUUUUGCCUUUCCUUUCCUUUUCUUGUGAAGGUGAAGGAGGAAAGAAACUUGGAGGAAGGAGGGAAGGGAGGGAGGGAGCUUGAGGAAGGAAGGGAGGCAAGGAAGGAAGGAAGGAAGGAGUGCAGGAGAAAAGGAAGAAAAGGGGAAUUAAGAAGGAGGAAGAUUGGGGAAGGUGAGGGAAGGGAAAGACGAAGGAAGGAAGGAAGGAGAGGAAGGGAGGGAAGGAAGAAAGGAGUGCAGGAGAAAAGAAUGAAAAGAGGAAUUAAGGAGGAAAGACGAAGGAAGGAAGGAAGGAGAGGAAGGGAGGGAAGGCGAAGGAAGAAAUCUCAAAUCCGACCCCAAAAAUAAAAAAAGAAGAAAAAUAAAACUCGAAAACACAAAAUCUAAAAAUAAUAAUAAUAAUAAUAACUAUGUGAAUUCAGACAACUCAUAAAGGGCUUCAUCAGUUUAUGUACAUCUUACAAUUUUGAAUACACACAUAAAAGAAAGAAAACACAAACAAACAAAGAAAUAAACAACCCCAGCAAAACAAUAAUAAUAAUAAUAAUAAUAAUAAUAAUAAUAAUAAUAAUAAUAAUAAU